rnacentral:rRNA from 1 species
UACGUAGGGUGCAAGCGUUGUCCGGAAUUAUUGGGCGUAAAGAGCUCGUAGGCGGUCUGUCGCGUCGGCUGUGAAAUCCCGAGGCUCAACCUCGGGUCUGCAGUCGAUACGGGCAAACUAGAGUAUUGCAGGGGAGACUGGAAUUCCUGGUGUAGCGGUGAAAUGCGCAGAUAUCAGGAGGAACACCGGUGGCGAAGGCGGGUCUCUGGGCAAUAACUGACGCUGAGGCUCGAAAGCGUGGGGAGCGAACAGG